rnacentral:lncRNA from 1 species
CUACAUAUUCCCGCUGUCAUGCAGCACAUUAUACCUUUUAGGACCUAUGUUAUUAGGUAUUUAUGCAAGCUCUCGGAUCAGGAGUUACGACAGAGUGCAGCUCGUAACAUGGCUGACUUAAUGUGGAGCACAGUCAAAGAACCAUUGGAUACAACAUUAUGCUUUGAUAAAGAAAGCCUAGAUCUUGCAUUUAAGUACUUUAUGUCACCUACUUUGACUAUGAGGUUGGCUGGAUUGAGUCAGAUAACAAAUCAACUCCAUACCUUCAAUGAUGUGUGCAAUAAUGAAUCAUUAGUAUCGGACACAGAAACGACGCUUACCAAGAAUGGAGCUUGCAGGACUGGAAGUUGCUCUGGGUGAGUUGGUGAGUGAUCGCUGAGAAGAUGUGAAGGCCUAGGAUGUGACUCUACACUACUGUAGACUUUGUCCAUUGCAAAAGAACUUGCAGACUGGCUUAUUAGCAACAAUGUGGUGGAGCAUAUAUUUGGACCAAAUUUACAUAUUGAGAUUAUCAAACAGUGCCAAGUGAUUUUGAAUUUUUUGGCAGCAGAAGGGCGACUGAGUACUCAACAUAUUGACUGUAUUUGGGCUGCAGCACAGUUGAAACAUUGUAGUCGGUAUAUACAUGACUUAUUUCCUUCACUCAUCAAGAAUUUGGAUCCCGUACCACUUAGACAUCUACUUAAUCUGGUCUCAGCUCUUGAGCCAAGUGUUCAUACUGAACAGACACUGUACUUGGCAUCCAUGUUAAUUAAAGCACUGUGGAAUAACGCACUAGCAGCUAAGGCUCAGUUAUCUAAACAGAGUUCUUUUGCAUCUUUAUUAAAUACUAAUAUUCCCAUUGGAAAUAAG